UCCGGGUUUCGCCCGGCAGUCUCCCUAGAAAAAUACAACUAAUCACAAGGGUUGCGCUCGUUGAUGGACUUAACCAAACAUCUCACGACACGAGCUGACGACGGCCAUGCAACACCUGUCACCUUGCUCAAUAAAGCACUCUCUACUUUCGUAGAAAUUCAAGGGAUGUCAAGCCCUGGUAAGGUUCUUCGUUUAUCAUCGAAUUAAAGAACACGCUCCACCGCUUGUGCGGGUCCCCGUCAAUUCCUUUAUGUUUUAGUCUUGCGACCGUACUCCACAGGCGGGAUACUUAACGCGUUAGCUUCGCUACUGAAGGGGUCGAUACCUCCAACAGCUAGUAUCCAUAGUUUAAGGCGUGGACUAC
rnacentral:misc_RNA from 1 species